rnacentral:tRNA from 1 species
GACUUCGCAGCUCAGUUGGUAAAGCAUUGGACUAGUAUUCCAAAGGUCGCAGGUUCGAAUCCCACCGUGGUCA